rnacentral:rRNA from 1 species
GACGAACGCUGGCGGCGUGCUUAACACAUGCAAGUCGAACGGAAAGGCCCUGCUUUUGUGGGGUGCUCGAGUGGCGAACGGGUGAGUAACCCGUGAGUAACCUGCCCUUGACUUUGGGAUAACUUCAGGAAACUGGGGCUAAUACCGGAUAGGAGCUCCUGCUGCAUGGUGGGGGUUGGAAAGUUUCGGCGGUUGGGGAUGGACUCUCGGCUUAUCAGCUUGUUGGUGGGGUAGUGGCUUACCAAGGCUUUGACGGGUAGCCGGCCUUGGAGGGUGACCGGGCACAUGGGGACUGAGAUACGGCCCAGACGCGUACGGGAGGCAGCAGUGGGGAAUAUUGCACAAUGGGCGGAAGCCUGAUGCAGCAACGCCGCGUGCGGGAUGACGGCCUUCUGGUUGUAAACCGCUUUCGCCUGUGACGAAGCGUGAGUGACGGUAAUGGGUAAAGAAGCACCGGCUAACUACGUG